AGGAAUGCAGAACCCGUUACUGAGCAAAUCUGUAUGUUAAAAUGUUUUCCCUAGCUAGCAAAAGAAACUUGACUUGAUGAACCAGACAAUAUAUAUUUUUUUUCCAUUUGCACAGGCUAGCCUCAAGCUCACAGUCCUCCUGUCUCAGCAUGCUUGGUGCUGAAGUGAGUAGCCUGCGCCAUCAGGUUCAGCCCUGUUCUGCUUCAGCAGUCCUUUCCACCUCUUUCCUAAUCUCCUGCCGUUUUCCUUUACUCUCACUUGCACACUGAUGCUUGGUGGCUCUCACUACAGGGAGAGAUCUUCAAGGCCGAGUUCAGGAUCGAAUCAUCUUUACAGUCCCCAGAGAAGUCGUGGCGCAAUGCACUGUCUACAGUGAGAAACAAUCAAAUUGUACAACCCGAGAAGAAGAGCUGAUGGUGGCCGGGUUCCUAGAGAGAUGCGUUCAGAUGCAGUUUGUCAUGGACUCAGAAGUGCCACUAAAGGUGAGGGAAGAGUAUGACAGCCUUGUGACAGUCCCACUGAAUAAACGCUUUUAAAUCUAGUAACAAGGGAUUGGUGUAACUGUGCACUUGUCAUGGAAGACUGCCAAGAUGUCCAUCUGUCAGUGCCUUCUUGUUCUAAUGUGUGUAUGUGGGUGUGGCUAUGUGUAUGUGUGUGUGUGGGCAUACAGAUGUGUACAGAGCUCAGAGGACAAUUCAAGGGUCAUCCUGAGAGCACCACCCAGCUCCUUUAAGAACUCUUCUCUCUUUGUCUUGGAGCUCACAUUAGGCUAGGCUGGAAGGCUCCUCCAGGGAUACUCUUGUCUCUCCCUCCUUGGUGAUCACAGGAACACAGCACAGUGCUCUGCAUGGUAUAUGGAUGCUGGGGAUCGAACUUGGGUCCCUGUGGUUGCGAGGCCAGCACUUUACUGACUGAACCACCAUCCCCUAGCCCAUGUUGCCAGUGCCUUUUUAAUAUGUUUAUACAGCUCUCUCUCUCUCUCUCUCUCUCUCUCUCUCUCUCUCUCUCUCUCUCUCUUUAGUGGUAGGUGAUUAAUUUGGAGAGAUGAUAAAAUCUAGACAGAGAUUUCUCAGUCACAUUGAUGACAGUAAAGGCAUUAAGAAUACAAUUAUGGGCACCAGCUCUAUAACUCAGCCUAUUGCUAUGAAAAUAUGUCUGACUGCCAGUGACCAGCAAUUAUCUUCCUCCAUUUAAUCUAAAGCCACAUGGUAUUUUAAAAAUGAAACUCCUUUCAAAACUGCCUCUGCCUAUAAAUGUCAACGGGUGGGACAGCUUUUCCUUCUGCACCACACAGUUCGACUUAUGCUGCGGUUCACGUUCACGUGCAUUCAAUGUUAAAGGACAAGGAAAUGCUCAUCCAAGGCACCUUGUCAACCCUGGCCAGCCCUGCGGUGACCUUCGGCUCAGAACCCGGGUUUGAGCCUUCAAGGGCAGCAAGAGCCUCAGUCAGCAGCUUUCCAGGUCCCAAGCUUGUCUAAGGAGAAGCAGAUUGAAAGCUCUCAGAAACCUGCCUUCUCAGAAACCUACCAUCCUCGUGAAGGGCUAAGCCAAGGAAAACAACACACCUGAACAAAAAAGCUCAUCUGUCACUUAACACUCGGUCCUUGUUUAAUUUUUACUCAGCCUAAGGCAGGUCUUGCUGGCCUGCUAUAGAUCUGUCUGGCCCUGAAGAAUGUCUCUGAAGUGCUGGGGUCACACGCUUGCACCACCCAACCUGGCUGGAUUCAGACUUUAAAAUAGGGGUGCACCGUAGGGGCAGUGGGGCUCCCGAUCUGGUUGUAAAAUGCUACAUGUUAAACAUCAAGAGAGCAAAUGAACGGUUUACAAAUGGUUUCUAGGACUGAAG
ensembl:processed_transcript Gm7457 predicted gene 7457